ensembl:lncRNA
GUGUGACUCAAUAGGUUACUGGAAGUCAGGAGUCUGACAUAUGAACCAGGCAACAAGCUUCAAAAUGUGGUUAGAGAACUGAAGGGAAAUCAAUCAUUGCGCAUUGUCUUUUGUGUGAAGAGUCCUCUCCACUUCUCCCCAAAUACCCAAGUGUACAACUAAGGAUGUAUAUCAUGGCCAUGAUACUUUGAAAAAUACUGCAAUACACAUUUCCAACUCUUCGAGGUGUGUGUAUCUGUGUUUGAGUGAGGAGGGACAGGGUGCUGGUUUCAAUCUUCUUGCUAAAGGAACUUCCUUAAAAAUAAAUAUGCUGAAAAGUAAUGACAGGAAACUUCACCAAAUCAAAAAAGAGGAUGUCAGGAAGUACAGGAUGUGAGGUUGUUUUCAUUUCCUUCAGUGCUAUUCUUAUUAAUCAUAUAUAUUUAUAACUUUAAAAAGCUGAAAAAGUUC